rnacentral:lncRNA from 1 species
UCAUUAAAUCAGUGAUAAACUAAACUUCUGAGGUGAUAACCAAGUUAUUUCAAGUUGUUCAUUGUUAAUCCUCUACAUUUAAGGAUAAAUAAUUUGAAGUAGCAGGAAUUAUUUCUAACAAAUAAUAAUUUUAUAACUAUAAUUUUCUUUAGAGGAAAACAUCCCUAAUUACUGCUGCUAACAUACUUGAAAUCUAAAGUAAGAUCUCAUAUAGGAUUCAUGCUACAAAUUACAGAACAAGCACUGUAUCAUAGCAACCCAGCAAUACCACUACAGUGACACGCUGAGGAUGCAAUCCAAGAUUCUAAUUUAAGAAACUGGCACAGAAUAUAGGACAUGGUGAGGACAUUGCACCACUGCACUCUAGCUGGGUGACAGAGCAAGACCCUGUCUCAAACAAACAAACAAAAACAAGGUGUUCAAGUCUCUAGAGCAGGACCCAGGAGGCUGAGACAGGAGAAUCCCUUGAACCCAGAAGGUGGAGGUUGCAGUGAGCCUAGAUUGUGCCACUGCCACUGCAUUCCAGCCUGGGCGACAGAGCAAGACUCUGUCUCAAAAAGAAGGAAAAGAAAAGAGACUGGCAGGGUGCAGUGGCUCAUGCCUAUAAUACCAGC